GUUGAGAUGGCUGAGUUGGUCUAAGGCCCCAGAUUAAGGUUCUGGUCCGAAAGGGCGUGGGUUCAAAUCCCACUCUGAACA
rnacentral:tRNA from 1 species